AUACCCAAGUUAAUUUCUCCUUCCUCGAUACACUCAACACCACAUAUGAGGCACAAUGAAGUGCAGAGAUCCUAAAUACAUGCCGAGUACAGUUGAAUUUGAACCUGCUCUAAAAUCCGCGAAAAAGUCGCCGAUCGUUCCAGAGGCUGAGGAAUGCGCGCCGAAUGCAAGGGAUGUGAAAAAAGAAGCAGAUUUUUUUGACGAACACGAAACCAAUAAGACCGCUCAAAAAGCAAAUGUCACUAUUCAGUCGCAUGAAUUAAGAGAGACCUCGCAUAUUUUGAAAAAUGGUCUAAGAUGUGUCCGAGAGUAUCCAUUUACGUUUUCGGUUGGCGCAAAACAACGUUGGAUUGGUAAAAAUGUAGUUGAGAUGUUCGUCACUGAAUUUCGGAACCAUUCCAUUAACUAUUAUUUGGAGAGUAUCUGUUCUGGGCAAAUUCAAAUCAAUAACAAAAUGGUCGGGUUCGAUUAUGUAAUCAAAGAACAUGAUUUGAUCAUGCAUCGAGUACAUAGGCACGAACCACCGGUAUCAGGUCAGGAAAUUAAAAUUAUUUACCAAGACGAAAAACUGGUUGUGAUUGACAAGCCCGGCUCUAUUCCAGUUCAUCCUUCCGGUCGGUAUCGGCAUAACAGUGUUACCUUCAUAUUGGCACACGAACAUGGACUCAUGAAUUUAUACACCACCUAUAGACUGGACCGACUGACGUCUGGACUGUUGAUUUUUACUAAAUCAUCCAAAGACGCGAAUGACAUCUCUUCUCAAAUUCGGAGCUACGAUAUAGAAAAAGGGUAUUUGGCUCGGGUAGUUGGCGAGUUUCCCGAGGGAAAGAUAACCGUUGAUCAACCUAUUUUCAUUGUACCAGAUAUUCAUCGAAAAGAGCACAAUCGUAUCAGUUCGGACGGAAAGCGAUGUAUCACGCAAUUUGAGAGGAUAUUCUAUCGUAACAAUGAAUCCUUGGUGAGAUGUGUUCCAAAAACAGGUCGUACUCAUCAGAUUCGCAUUCACCUGAAAUGGCUGGGUUAUCCAAUCGUAAAUGAUCCCCUGUACAAUGAAAAAUAUGCACAAUGUCUAGGACCAGUAUUGGAAAUCAGUCCGCCUGAUACCAAAGAGAUAGAGGACAUUAAGGCGGCAUCCAAGCAAUUUAAUCACUACAAUUCGCUAUCUAAAAUUAUUCAGGAAAAAAUUGAGGUGAACCCAAAAUUUCAAUCUUACCGGCCCAGCGGUUCGAAGGUCAACAUCAAUUCAAUAGAUCCUUCUCCUACGUGUCGAGACUGCAAGAAGGUAUAUAGGACACCCUACACACACGAAAUGUUUAUCUGUCUGCAUGCUUUGUCAUACAAAACAAAAUCGUUUUUAUAUAAAACAGAUUUACCUGCUUGGGCAGAAGAAGGAUACGUAUCACCUGAUUGGAACAGCAUAGCACGCCAGCAGAGUGGCGUAGAGGAAAUUGAGUAAAGGAAGGAUAAGCCGAUCAAACAGACGAGAAGGACAUCAAAAUUCGACCCUUUUGUUUUUUGUAAGACAGAAACGCUAAGGACGGUGAAGAGAGAAAAAGAACAAAGGCUUUAUUGACGGACGCGUGAUCAGUUUGUUAAGAACUAUCAAUAGCCUUAGCAUCAGAGAGAAACGGUCAAUAGUAUAAGCAGUAACGAAACGUUUGCACAUAUAUAUACAGCGUUUAAAUGUUAACAAUAAGUUUAAGAUAAAUUCGGUUAAAGCAGAGUAAAUGCAUGUGAAUCGUAGCUAAAAAUGUUCAGGCUAAAGUUUUUGACAUAAAUAUUCUCGUUUCGCGCUAGCCAA